rnacentral:misc_RNA from 1 species
UUCUCUUCCCAAUCUUGCUAGUCUUCAUCACUUCUAUUUGACUGUUUCCCAUUUCAUCAAUUCUUCAUUUCCUGAACAAUCAACACAACAAAACUCAUUACUCACUUCCUCAAACCCUCCUUUUCAUAGCCUUUGUUUCCCAUUUCCAUCAAUUCUUCAAUCUCACAGUGUACUUGCAAGUCUCAAACCAUUUUCUAUCACCUCAAAUCUUUGCUUCGAAGAUUUGCCUCACAACUUCACUUCGCCUCAAAGCCUCGCUUCACCGUUGCCACAUUCAUCUGGCCUCCUUGCCUCACUAGGUCAUUGGGUUUGCAUGGGUCAGUGAUUGUUACUAGGAUUCUGUGAUUCUGGGGUUGCAAUUAUGGUUGGGAUUGUACGAUUCUGAGUCAAUCUCAAUUAAGAAGUUUAAUAAUUUAUGUAUGCUUCUGCAAUUCAUCCAUUCUUUCUUGAGGACUUGAUAAGGUGCUUCUUUGCUAAUCUUCGUCAUUUGUAACCUUAG